UACGGAGGGUGCGAGCGUUGUCCGGAAUCACUGGGCGUAAAGGGCGCGUAGGCGGCCUGAUAAGUAGGGGGUGAAAUCCUGCGGCUUAACCGCAGGGCUGCCUUCUAAACUGUCAGGCUCGAGCACAGUAGAGGCAGGUGGAAUUCCCGGUGUAGCGGUGGAAUGCGUAGAGAUCGGGAGGAACACCGGUGGCGAAGGCGGGUCUCUGGGCAAUUCCUGACGCUGAGGCGCGAAAGCGUGGGGAGCAAACGGG
rnacentral:rRNA from 1 species